rnacentral:rRNA from 1 species
AUUGAACGCUGGCGGCAUGCCUUACACAUGCAAGUCGAACGGCAGCAUGAUCUAGCUUGCUAGAUUGAUGGCGAGUGGCGAACGGGUGAGUAAUACAUCGGAACGUGCCCUGUAGUGGGGGAUAACUAGUCGAAAGAUUAGCUAAUACCGCAUACGACCUGAGGGUGAAAGUGGGGGACCGCAAGGCCUCAUGCUAUAGGAGCGACCGAUGUCUGAUUAGCUAGUUGGUGAGGUAAAGGCUCACCAAGGCGACGAUCAGUAGCUGGUCUGAGAGGACGAUCAGCCACACUGGGACUGAGACACGGACCAGACUCCUACGGGAGGCAGCAGUGGGGAAUUUUGGACAAUGGGCGAAAGCCUGAUACAGCAAUGCCGCGUGUGUGAAGAAGGCCUUCGGGUUGUAAAGCACUUUUGUCCGGAAAGAAAUGGCUCUGGUUAAUACCUGGGGUCGAUGACGGUACCGGAAGAAUAAGGACCGGCUAACUACGUG